AGAGGUAACCCUGGUCUCAUGUCUUCAGGCUCAAGCCAUUCUGUGAAGGCAUAGGCUCCUGAGGUCAGGAUGAUGAUCUUGCCAGGAGAGCAACUUCAGCUUUGUGAGUAGGUGCUGAAGGCUUAUCUGGAGGGACUAAGGUGACCAUCAGGGCCUAAGUGCUCCUGGCCUGCAGCUAGCAAAAGAAAGGAGGCUCUGUCCUACAACUACAAAGAACAGAAUUUUACCAAAAGCUAGCUCCAUGAGUCUUGAGGAGAGGGGCUUGAUGAAGGCAUCUCAUUAGGAUUGAGUGGCGUCCAAAGACUCCCACAUACCACAGCAGAGAACAUCGAGGAUGCUACAGACACUUAUCUCACAAUCAAAGGUUUGUCUUGACGAUUGGAUCAGCAGGAGAAAAUUAAACAUGUGACAUCAAUCUCA